CAUAUACUCCCUCCAUCCGAAAAUACCUGUCAUCAAAAUGGACAAAAAGGGAUGUAUCUAGAACUAAAUACAUCUAGAUACAUCCCAUUUUAUUUAUUUUGAUGACAAGUAUUUUCGUACGGAGGGAGUAGUAU
rfam:Triticum aestivum genome assembly, contig: Triticum_aestivum_CS42_TGACv1_scaffold_576820_7BL